CUUUCAACAACGGAUCUCUUGGUUCUGGCAUCGAUGAAGAACGCAGCGAAAUGCGAUAAGUAAUGUGAAUUGCAGAAUUCAGUGAAUCAUCGAAUCUUUGAACGCACAUUGCGCCCUCUGGUAUUCCGGGGGGCAUGUCUGUUCGAGCGUCGCAAA
rnacentral:rRNA from 2 species